rnacentral:tRNA from 2 species
GGGCUAGUAGCUCAGUUGGCUAGAGCACUGCCACAUAUAGGCAGAGGUCCUGGGUUCAAUCCCCAGCUGGUCCA